GGGGGGCACAAGACGGGGGCAGGAGAGGAGUGUGGAGAGAGACAGAGCAAGGCCCGGCAGGACAGACCUGAUGAGGGAUGAAGCUGCUAGAGCUCAGAGAAGUGAAGUUACCUGCCUGAGGCCACACAGCAGGUACAGGGACCUACCUGCUCAGGGUGUGCAGGGAGGAAAGACACGGUGCUGGGGGUCAGGAGU